CUUCAUCACAACACAACACACAGAAAUCCUCCUCAUCACAACCAUGCCUUUGGUCUCCGUCCUCAUCUGGACUCUCCUCUGCUUCACUCAGGGGUCUGUUGGACAAAGUGUUGUUGUGACUCAACCGGCGGCAAAAUCAGUCCGACCAGGUCAAACUGUGUCUAUUGAGUGUAAGACAAAUCCAGCAUUAACUGAGUUUACACAGGGGUACUUCCUGAGCUGGUACCAGCAGAAACCUGGAGAAAGUCCUGAACUUCUGAUCCACAGCAUAUCCACUAGAUUCAGUGGAAUCUCCUCCAGAUUCAGUGGAAGUGGAGCAGACAAUAAAAUCGACUUCACUCUGACCAUCAGUAAUGUCCAGGCUGAAGAUGCAGGAGUUUAUUACUGUCAACCUUAUCACUAUGUCAACAGUCAGUAUGUGUUCACACAGUGA